UACGUAGGGUGCGAGCGUUAAUCGGAAUUACUGGGCGUAAAGCGUGCGCAGGCGGUUCGCUAAGACAGAUGUGAAAUCCCCGGGCUUAACCUGGGAACUGCGUUUGUGACUGGCGGGCUGGAGUGCGGAAGAGGGAGGUGGAAUUCCACGUGUAGCAGUGAAAUGCGUAGAGAUGUGGAGGAACACCGAUGGCGAAGGCAGCCUCCUGGUCUAGCACUGACGCUCAUGCACGAAAGCGUGGGGAGCAAACAGG
rnacentral:rRNA from 1 species